rnacentral:tRNA from 1 species
UAUAUUUUAAUGUAAAAUGCAUAUUAAUUUUUGAUAUUAAAAGAAAUAGAUUUUAUCUAUUAAAUAUAU